UUCGUAGGCGGUGCGGUAAGUCGGAAGUGAAAUCUCUGGGCUUAACUCAGAGGCUGCUUUCGAAACUACCGUGCUAGGGUGCGGGAGAGGCGAGUGGAAUUGCAGGUGUAGCGGUGAAAUGCGUAGAUAUCUGCAGGAACACCCGUGGCGAAGGCGGCUCGCUGGACCGCAACUGACGCUGAGGAACGAAAGCUAGGGGAGCAAACAGGAUUAGAUACCCUGGUAGUCCUAGCCCUAAACCAUCAGGACUUGGGGUGGCCCGCGUUGGCGGGUCGUCCCGGAGCUAACGCGUUAAGUCCUGCACCUGGGGAGUACGGUCGCAAGGCUGAA
rnacentral:rRNA from 1 species